UGGCCGCUGGUAAGAUGGAGUUAAGUUUACCAUAGUUCAUUUACACAUACUACUAACAAUCUUAUGAUACAAAGCUGGUUGAAUAUGGGUACACACAAU